rnacentral:rRNA from 1 species
GAUGAACGCUGGCGGCGUGCCUAAUACAUGCAAGUCGAGCGAACAGACGAGGAGCUUGCUCCUCUGACGUUAGCGGCGGACGGGUGAGUAACACGUGGAUAACCUACCUAUAAGACUGGGAUAACUUCGGGAAACCGGAGCUAAUACCGGAUAAUAUAUUGAACCGCAUGGUUCAAUAGUGAAAGACGGUUUUGCUGUCACUUAUAGAUGGAUCCGCGCCGCAUUAGCUAGUUGGUAAGGUAACGGCUUACCAAGGCGACGAUGCGUAGCCGACCUGAGAGGUGAUCGGGCACACUGGAACUGAGACACGGUCCAGACUCCUACGGGAGGCCGCAGUAGGGAAUCUUCCGCGAUGGGCGAAAGCCUGACGGAGCAACGUCGCGUGAGGGAUGAAGGUCUUCGGAUCGUAAAACUCUGUUAUUAGGGAAGAACAAAUGUGUAAGUAACUAUGCACGUCUUGACGGUACCUAAUCAGAAAGCCACGGCUAACUACGUG